UAGGGAAUCUUCCACAAUGGACGCAAGUCUGAUGGAGCAACGCCGCGUGAGUGAAGAAGGCUUUCGGGUCGUAAAACUCUGUUAUUGAAGAAGAACGUGCGUGACAGUAACUGGUCAUGCAGUGACGGUAUUCAAUCAGAAAGUCACGGCUAACUACGUGCCAGCAGCCGCGGUAAUACGUAGGUGGCAAGCGUUGUCCGGAUUUAUUGGGCGUAAAGCGAGUGCAGGCGGUCUUUUAAGUCUGAUGUGAAAGCCUUCGGCUUAACCGAAGAAGGGCAUCGGAAACUGGGAGACUUGAGUGCAGAAGAGGAGAGUGGAACUCCAUGUGUAGCGGUGAAAUGCGUAGAUAUAUGGAAGAACACCAGUGGCGAAGGCGGCUCUCUGGUCUGUAACUGACGCUGAGGCUCGAAAGCAUGGGUAGCGAACAGGAUUAGAUACCCUGGUAGUCCAUGCCGUAAACGAUGAGUGCUAAGUGUUGGGAGGCUUCCGCCUCUCAGUGCUGCAGCUAACGCAUUAAGCACUCCGCCUGGGGGAGUACGACCGCAAGGUUGAAAC
rnacentral:rRNA from 1 species